rnacentral:rRNA from 1 species
UAGGGAAUCUUCGGCAAUGGACGGAAGUCUGACCGAGCAACGCCGCGUGAGUGAAGAAGGUUUUCGGAUCGUAAAGCUCUGUUGUAAGAGAAGAACGAGUGUGAGAGUGGAAAGUUCACACUGUGACGGUAUCUUACCAGAAAGGGACGGCUAACUACGUGCCAGCAGCCGCGGUAAUACGUAGGUCCCGAGCGUUGUCCGGAUUUAUUGGGCGUAAAGCGAGCGCAGGCGGUUAGAUAAGUCUGAAGUUAAAGGCUGUGGCUUAACCAUAGUACGCUUUGGAAACUGUUUAACUUGAGUGCAAGAGGGGAGAGUGGAAUUCCAUGUGUAGCGGUGAAAUGCGUAGAUAUAUGGAGGAACACCGGUGGCGAAAGCGGCUCUCUGGCUUGUAACUGACGCUGAGGCUCGAAAGCGUGGGGAGCAAACAGGAUUAGAUACCCUGGUAGUCCACGCCGUAAACGAUGAGUGCUAGGUGUUGGGAGGUUUCCGCCUCUCAGUGCUGCAGCUAACGCAUUAAGCACUCCGCCUGGGGAGUACGACCGCAAGGUUGA